CGAAUCGCACCUGUCACCUUAGAAUAUCGAUAUGAAUAAAAUAUCAAAAUAUCACAUUUUGUCGUGACAGCCCAAAAAUUAUCAAAAAUUUUAAUUCGUAAACGUUCGAAAAAUAUAAUAAUCAUGAAAAAGACAUAAAACAACUCAAAAAAUUCCUGAAUCGCACCGGUCACCUUAGAAUAUUGAUACUAAUAGAAUAUCAAAAUUUAACAUUUUUUCGUGACUUCCCGAAAAAUAUAAAAAUCAAGAAAAAAGACAUAAAAUACCUCAAAAUAUUCCUGAAUCCCACCCGUCACCUUAGAAUAUCGAUACAAAUAAAAUAUCAAAACUUCACAUUUUUCCCUGACUACCCAAAAAAUAUCAAAACUUUUAAUUCGUAAACGUCCAAAAAAUAUAAAAAUCAAGAAAAAGACAUAAAAACACCUCAAAAAAUUCCCGAAUCGCACAAGUCACCUUAGAAUAUCGAUACGAAUAAAAUGUCAAAAUUUACAUUUUUUCGUGAAUGCCCAACAAAUGUUAAAAAUUUCAAUUCCUAUA
rnacentral:lncRNA from 1 species